ACACUUACCUGGAGAGGAGAUAGCAUGAUUACAAAGAUGAUUUUCCUAGGAUGAAGCUUCUCCAUUGCACUCCGGAUGUGCUGACCCCUGCAAUUUCCCCAAAUGUGGGAAUCUCGACUGCAUAGUUUGUGAUAGUGGGGGACUGCAUUCACACUCUCCCU
rnacentral:snRNA from 1 species